rnacentral:lncRNA from 1 species
UAAAAUACUCCUUGGGAUAUAAACUCUUAUGCCAAAUUGCAGAGAAAAUGCAAAAUUGUGUAAGUGCAUUUUAAUACUGAUGGUUGAAUACAACAUGACUACACAUCCUUAACAAAGCAGAAAUGCAAUCUAUUUAUAGAUCAGAGACAUUUGUCCAAGCUGCUGACCAACUAAUUUUAAAUUUAAUUUUAAAUUUAAUUUUAAAUUUAGUAUUUUCAGGAAUGUUAUGAUGAUGCAUUCCUCUUUUAGAGACUGAAAAUGUGGGGGUGGCUAAAGAAAGAGUUAAUGCCCAUGAUUUUGCCAGGAAUCAAGUUAAUGAAGAAAUGCAUUUGAGAGGAUUAACAUUGUUGUAGAAAUCAGUGUGUGAAGAGAUUGACUGGGAGGGUGUUGGGCUGAAGAAUGUGAAAGGGCAAUUUGGUCUUUUUGGCAGACUUGUCAAGGAUAGUUUGCUUCUCGGCCAUGGCUCCAUGAAGUGGAAAACACUGAGAAGAGUAAGUGCCACAAGAUGGCACUUUGAAAAGAGUGAUGAAAGGGGGAAAUGUACCUCUAUCCAUCCUGGCUGUAAGGGAUCAUUAAACAGAUUCAGAUAUUGGGAUCAAUUCAACAAGCCAACAUGAGAGAAGAUGAGAAACCACGUGCAGAGGACAAAUUCUGCGGUAUUUCCAGGCUUAAGGUACAGAAAUAUUUUAGCAAUUUUUUAUGAAUGCAAUUGCAAUUGUUUGCACUUACAGCCAUUCAGCAGGAAUUAAAAUAUAGACUAAAAGAAUGAACAGUCUGGUUCUUUCUUUAUCCGUAAUGAUUUAACAAUUGAGGUCAAGAAAAUUUGUAACCAAACAAAUAUUGCUUUUUAUGUCCCUGACCUUUAUGUUGUCUGACGUGUUGGAGGUAUGCUUGACUGCUGCUUUGAAUCUCCACCUCUGAACUUCUGUAAUGACUCUAGGCUUUACUUUCUGUAAUCUCCCUAUUCCUUUAUAGACCUAUGAAAUGAGCCAGUUGUGACAUGGAAGUAAAAAAUGGCUGUUAAUAUAUCCCACACUAUUUUAGUAGUCAAGAAGCUCUAUAAAAAGCUAUAAAAAAGUUUGUUUUAAUAGGAGACAAAGCUCAAAUACAUUACUGAUGCUUUUUAGCAUUUGCAGUAGAUGCAUUUAAAAUACUAUUGAAUUUAUUUCAUAAAUAAUGCUUAUGAAUAACCCUUAAGUUAAAAUGACUUGAAUACUACUACGGAUACUCUUUCUUUCCCCACUGUCAA